CUUCAACUCUGGCGGUAGGCCUAACACAUGCCAGUCGAACGGCAGCACAGUAAGAGCUUGCUCUUACGGGUGGCGAGUGGCGGACGGGUGAGGAAUACAUCGGAAUCUACUUUUUCGUGGGGGAUAACGUAGGGAAACUUACGCUAAUACCGCAUACGACCUACGGGUGAAAGCAGGGGAUCUUCGGACCUUGCGCGAUUGAAUGAGCCGAUGUCGGAUUAGCUAGUUGGCGGGGUAAAGGCCCACCAAGGCGACGAUCCGUAGCUGGGCUGAGAGGAUGAUCAGCCACACUGGAACUGAGACACGGUCCCGACUCCUACGGGAGGCAGCAGUGGGGAAUAUUGGACAAUGGGCGCAAGCCUGAUCCAGCCAUACCGCGUGGGUGACGAAGGUCUUCGGGUUGUAAAGCCCUUUUGUUGGGAAAGAAAAGCAGCAGGUUAAUACCCCGCUGUUCUGACGGUACCCAAAGAAUAAGCACCGGCUAACUUCGUG
rnacentral:rRNA from 1 species